CUUGGCACUGAAAGAAUUCACAG
rnacentral:miRNA from 1 species